CCUACUCUCUUUUUCUUUUUCUUCCUUUCUAACCUUUUCCUCCACAACAUCGACCUCCUCCUCGGCCUUGAAAACCGCGUCAAAUACACCGUCGUCGAGGUCCUCAACGGCGAUUGCCGCCACGACCAAGCUCUAGUCCGCGACAAGCGCUGGUCCAACUUCGAACUCCUCUGCAUUUCGAAACCCAGAUCCAAAUUGCCAAUUGGGUUCGACGGAAAAGCCUUGGUUUGGAAGAGAGAGGAGAGAAGGCGGCGGAGGAAAAGGAAAAGCAAGGUCUGGAAACGACGUCGGGCGCGGCAGAUGAGGCGGACGGCGGAGCUGUCGCUGUCCAGAAUGCCCAAGUUAAAGCCCAAGCACAAGCCCAAGCCCAUGCCCAUGCCCAAGUCCAAUCUCAAUCCCGAUUGAAAUUCCAUCGUGCCCAUUUCUUCCUCAUCGCCCAAGCCAAUAUAGAAAAAAUCAAAAAACAAGAAGGAGAAUGCGGUUUCCAAAUUUAAUAACAGUUGGCCCACCUCGCUUUGAAGGAGUUUCAAGGUUUGGAGAUCGUGAUGGGUACCGUGGAGGUCCUCGUGGUCCUCCAGGUGAAUUUGGUGGUGAGAAGGGAGGAGCUCCACCGGAUUUCCAGCCCUCUUACAGGGGGCUAAUAAUUGAAAGAAUCCAAGCUGAGCCUGUGGAGGGUAAGAGAAAGUUUAUCUAUCUUGGGGAUGGUAAACUUUUUCCCCUAGAUUUGAGCUUGUGUCGUACAAUAAUGUGAACAUCAAUUAUCACAUUCAGUUUGUGAAAUCAGUUAUGGAUUUAGUGUUUGUAAUUGUACCUUCUUUCUUAUUAGUUACUUUCCCUUUAAUCUUGCUUGUCUCACAGGAGCACAGGUGUGAAAGAGAAGCUCUCAGAUAAAUACAAAGACAAAAUAGUUGAUUAGAAAAUAUUGGCGAAUGAGGUAGGUCCUAGGUCUCUAGGGCCAUAGGGAACACGUGCGGAAAUUUUCUUUUUGGGGCUUGGAUGUGCAAGUAGUGAACUUUUAAUUUGCGAUAAGCUCUCUCCCUUUGUCUCUCUAUCACUUCUUUCUCUCUCUCUUACGUCUGCAAAGACGAAGAAGGUAUGUUAGAUUUCUAGUCAUGGUCACACUUUCAAAGAAAAAUAAACUUCAGACGUGGUGCCAUUAUAAUGUUUUUCAUUAAAAACAGAAGUACAAUUAUAUUUUUAUUAGUUAAUUCAUGGAUGGAUAUAUGAAUGUUUACAUGCAUGCAUGAUGAUGAAGCAGCACAUUUGUUCUCACAUCUUAAUAAAGAGAGCAUUUUCGCUGAUUGUGGCUAACAAGGAAAUUUAAAAUUACAAAAAAGGAGUAAUGCUUGAUAUUGAUGCCAAAAAUAUUAUAUUCGUGAAGUAGAAAAUAGUUGAUUCCUACGAAUUUGGAAAAUAAAAUAUAUUGGCAAUUUGAAUUGGAAUAGUUAAGUAGAUAUUCCUGUAGCUAUUUUACUUAUGCAAGGACCCUUUUUAGUGCAAUUGUUGAGAUGCUUGUAUUGGUUCAGGUAUUUCUUAUGUUAUAGGCGUAUGUAAUGAAAAAUGCUUCUUGCCAUUUGACUUUUUGGGAUGUACUUUACUCUUUAAGUUGUGUGCCUGAAAUUCUUUUACCCCUUAUCUUGUAUAUUUCCUGUGUCAUUUGUUGGAUGGUUAUGCAAUGGUUUUAUUGAUUUACAUCAGCAUGUGCUAGAGAGGGGAAAGCCUCAUGAAAGAAGCUAGAUUAUAAGCAAGUUGUCAGGACAUAUUGUACAACUGAGCCAAUAUAAAUUUGCAUCAAACGUUAUUAAGAAAU